CAACUGUCUCCUGGAGACACAUUUCAGCAGGUCCCAAUGGGCAAGAAACAACAAUUGCUGAUGAGGGAACGAGAGCCAGGUGCCCUACAACCCCACGGAGGGGCCUUGCUGAACCGUUAGCACCUCCUGCUGAGACAUGUUAGGACUCCUUGAGGGAGGAAUUUUCCUGCUGAGCACACCAUGUGUUCGCGAGCUGUCAGGUCUCCUAGGAAAUGUGCAGCUCUUUCCCGUGCACAUGGCGGCUCUGGGCUUGGAGCACGGAAGAAGGCUGGAGAGACUCAGGGGCUCCCCAGGACACAGAGAGAUGGGAGACCCCAUCACCCAGCACCAAGAGAGCUCUCAAGCCAUGCAGACAACGGGACUCCUCAGAAAUUCACACGAAGUUGCCUGGGCUGGUGACUAUGGGAAUGAACUCCUGCAUUCACCAUAUGGAUCCGAAGGAACUAGAUUGGCAAGCACUGCUUGCACAGUGUGACACCACAACUCCAUUUUCCAUGGGCCUAAGUGUGGUUUACUUCUCCUGACUGGACCUUGAGCGCUGGAGAGCCCUACAUGAGAAGAGACCACCCUACAUGAGAAGUGACCACCCUACAUGGCACAGCACCAGCUUCCUCUGGAACCAGCGUGAAGCAUCCCUGAGAAAUAGCGAAUGGAAUGCAGCCUCAGCAUAUCAGUCCACCUCCGAUGUCACAUGGGCCAUGCAUGUGCGCCAGAUCCUAAGUGAACAACCAGAAACCACAGAGGACAGAACCGGAAGAGACUGCAGUUGUCAUGUGGUCCCAGUUCAUCAGUUUACAGAUGGGGAAACUGAGAGCUAGACAUGAGUUGUUCUAAGAGAACUUAGACAAGGUCACACAAGGAGUUCAUGGGGCAGGAACACAGAGGUCACCUAAUUUCAAAGUGUGCUGUUUGACAACAUCCCUUAUUAUUUGCUGAC
rnacentral:lncRNA from 1 species